GCUUCGUUAGCUCAAUCGGCAGAGCGGCGGAUUGUAAUCCGCUGAUCGGAGUUCAAUUCUCCGAUGAAGCUCCA
rnacentral:tRNA from 1 species